rnacentral:rRNA from 1 species
UACGUAGGUGGCAAGCGUUGUCCGGAUUUACUGGGCGUAAAGAGCGCGCAGGCGGUCGUGCAAGUCCCGUGUGAAAGCCCCCGGCUCAACUGGGGAGGGUCACGCGAUACUGCUCGACUCGAAGGCAGGAGAGGGAAGUGGAAUUCCCGGUGUAGUGGUGAAAUGCGUAGAUAUCGGGAGGAACACCAGUGGCGAAGGCGACUUCCUGGACUGUUCUUGACGCUGAGGCGCGAAAGCUAGGGUAGCAAACGGG